CGUGGGUCCUCACUGCAAGCCCGCUCCUGAAGCCAGCUCUAAGCUUCCCCAGCCGGCAGGGGCAGCCGAGGCCGCCUGGGUCCCUGCACCGGGGCAGAGGUGGGCCCUUGGUGGGCUGCCGGUCAGCGUGGGGAGAAUAGUCUAUCGCUCUCCACCAGGUCCUCACACCUCGAGCUGCCUGUUGCCUUCCCUGGCCUCACCUUGAGGAUGGACCCCACUGUGGGCGACGCAGCUGGUGACCCCACUGCUGGGAGCGAGGGCCAUUCUGCAGGCCAGGACCUGCUCCUGUUCCUGCAGGCCCUGCAGACGCUGUGGUCCACGCGGGAGCUGCGGCAGGUGCUCACUGACAGGUGUGCAUCCCCCGCCACGGUCCCUCCAUCACAGGUCUCCACAGGUAGGGCUCUGUCACCCGUCUUCUCAAUCCCCAUUAGGGCGUCUCCUUAGACUGAUGCGUUACCAAUUUCCAAGCACAUGCGGGGUUGUUUUGAGCUCUUUCGUGACUUGUUUCUGUCUAUGAAGGAGCACGUCCGUGUGUUCUCCUUUUUGGUGCUAGAGAGGCCUGUGUGCGUCUUGUGAGUGACCUGGGCAGCUGUGUUCUCCACCUGGGAGCCAAGCUUCUGCCUGGAGGGACAUGUGCUGUCUCCCCUGGGUUCACUUGCCAGAACUGGUCCGGGGUGGGUGGGCAAGCACCGUGCCGCUCAGUAUCUGAGGUCGGACCCUGGUGAUGCCCCAGGGGCGGAGGGUCCCCGCAGGAGCCACUAGGCGGUG
rnacentral:lncRNA from 1 species